CCUACGGGAGGCAGCAGUGAGGAAUAUUGGUCAAUGGCCGCAAGGCUGAACCAGCCAUGUCGCGUGCAGGAAGACGGCCCUAUGGGUUGUAAACUGCUUUUGUACGGGAAGAAACGUAUCUACGAGUAGAUAUUUGCGGUACCGUGGGAAUAAGCAUCGGCUAACUCCGUGCCAGCAGCCGCGGUAAUACGGAGGAUGCAAGCGUUAUCCGGAUUUUUAUUGGGUUUAAAGGGUGCGUAGGCGGACUAAUAAGUCAGUGGUGAAAUCUUGCGGCUCAACCGUAAAACUGCCAUUGAUACUGUUAGUCUUGAAUUUAGUUGAGGUAGGCGGAAUGUGUUGUGUAGCGGUGAAAUGCAUAGAUAUAACACAGAACACCGAUUGCGAAGGCAGCUUACUAAGCUAUAAUUGACGCUGAUACGAAAGCGUGGGGAUCAAACAGGAUUAGAUACCCUGGUAGUCCACGCUGUAAACGAUGAUCACUCGUUGUUGGCGAUAUACAGUCAGCGACUGAACGAAAGUAUUAAGUGAUCCACCUGGGGAGUACGAUCGCAAGGUUGAAACUCAAAGGAAUUGACGG
rnacentral:rRNA from 1 species